UAAACUGUACUAAUUGGCUAAGUAAAAAAUUCUGGAAAUUUUAUCAAAGAAAUAUAAAUGAGUCUAGUUUUAGGGAAAAUUAACGGAACUUAAUUUGGAGUUUCGUAGCUCCAAAUAUAAAUAAUUUAGUGACUGCUGCUCAGGAAGACAGCUUGUAGUGAACUUGAGAAUAUGUUGUAAACAUUGAUAAAACAAGUUAAUGAGUUGCUUAUUGUUUUCAUAUGAACUUACUAAGCGAAAGCUUACCCUCUUCUUUCCCAUGUUUUCUAGAGUUUCCAGGUUAGCUCGGGUUGGAGGCCGUCAGAGAUAUUAUCACACUGUCGAGUUAACGCUAUUGGCGUAAGUAAACUCAAGUGAUUCUAGUCUAUGGCAUGUAUAGGGUUUUAAUGUGAGUAUGUAAUAUUAUGAUUUAGCCAAAGGCAUUGGCUUGUUAUUAAGGUAGUAUUGUAAUAUUAUGAUUUAGCCAAAGGCAUUGGCUUGUUAUUAAGGUAGUAUUAGUCAUGUAAAUUGGCCUAUGUCGGCUAAUAUCGUUAUGGGCCCAUAUGAUUAUUCUUAUGCAUGUAUGUUAUUAUCUCUUGUGAUGUGGCU
rnacentral:lncRNA from 1 species